UACGAAGGGAGCUAGCGUUGUUCGGAUUCAUUGGGCGUAAAGGGUGCGUAGGCGGCGCGGUAAGUCGGGUGUGAAAUCUUGGAGCUUAACUCCGAAACUGCAUUCGAUACUGCCGUGCUUGAGGACUGGAGAGGAGACUGGAAUUUACGGUGUAGCGGUGAAAUGCGUAGAUAUCGUAAGGAAGACCAGUGGCGAAGGCGGGUCUCUGGACAGUUCCUGACGCUGAGGCACGAAGGUCAGGGGAGCAAACGGG
rnacentral:rRNA from 1 species